rnacentral:rRNA from 1 species
UACAGAGACUGCAAGCGUUAUUCGGAUUCACUGGGCGUAAAGGGUGCGCAGGCGGCCAAGUGUGUGAGGCGUGAAAAGCCCGAUGCUUAACAUCGGAAUUGCACCUCAAACUACAUGGCUAGAGCAUUGGAGAGGGUAGCGGAAUUCACGGUGUAGCAGUGAAAUGCGUAGAUAUCGUGAGGAACACCAGAGGCGAAGGCGGCUACCUGGACAAUUGCUGACGCUCAGGCACGAAAGCGUGGGGAGCAAAAGGG